GUGGGGAAUAUUGGACAAUGGGCGAAAGCCUGAUCCAGCCAUGCCGCGUGUGUGAAGAAGGUCUUCGGAUUGUAAAGCACUUUAAGUUGGGAGGAAGGGCAGUAAGUUAAUACCUUGCUGUUUUGACGUUACCGACAGAAUAAGCACCGGCUAACUUCGUGCCAGCAGCCGCGGUAAUACGAAGGGUGCAAGCGUUAAUCGGAAUUACUGGGCGUAAAGCGCGCGUAGGUGGUUUUGUAAGUUGGAGGUGAAAUCCCCGGGCUCAACCUGGGAACUGCCUCCAAAACUGCAUGACUAGAGUACGGUAGAGGGUAGUGGAAAUUCCUGUGUAGCGGUGAAAUGCGUAGAUAUAGGAAGGAACACCAGUGGCGAAGGCGACUACCUGGACUGAUACUGACACUGAGGUGCGAAAGCGUGGGGAGCAAACAGGAUUAGAUACCCGGGUAGUCC
rnacentral:rRNA from 1 species